ACGAACUGUGCGAACGUUAUUCGGAAUCACUGGGCUUAAAGGGUGCGUAGGCGGCUGUGUAGGUCUGAUGUGAAAUCCUACGGCUCAACCGUAGAACUGCGUUGGAAACCAUGCAGCUUGAGGGAGACAGAGGUGAGCGGAACUAAUGGUGGAGCGGUGAAAUGCGCUGAGAUCAUUAGGAACACCGGUGGCGAAAGCGGCUCACUGGGUCUCUUCUGACGCUGAGGCACGAAAGCUAGGGGAGCGAACGGG
rnacentral:rRNA from 1 species